rnacentral:rRNA from 1 species
GACGCUGGCGGGAUGCUUUACACAUGCAAGUCGAACGGCAGCAUGGAGAGCUUGCUCUCUGAUGGCGAGUGGCGAACGGGUGAGUAAUAUAUCGGAACGUGCCCAGUAAUGGGGAAUAACUAAUUGAAAGAUUAGCUAAUACCGCAUACGACCUACGGGUGAAAGCAGGGGAUCUUCGGACCUUGCGUUAUUGGAGCGGCCGAUAUCUGAUUAGCUAGUUGGUAGGGUAAAAGCCUACCAAGGCGACGAUCAGUAGCUGGUCUGAGAGGACGAUCAGCCACACUGGAACUGAGACACGGUCCAGACUCCUACGGGAGGCAGCAGUGGGGAAUUUUGGACAAUGGGGGAAACCCUGAUCCAGCCAUCCCGCGUGAGUGAAGAAGGCCUUCGGGUUGUAAAGCUCUUUCGGAAGUGAAGAAAACUUAUUUCGUAAUAUGUUAUAAGAAUGACGGUAACUUUAGAAGAAGCACCGGCUAACUACGUGCCAGCAGCCGCGGUAAUACGUAGGGUGCGAGCGUUAAUCGGAAUUACUGGGCGUAAAGCGUGCGCAGGCGGUUUUGUAAGUCAGAUGUGAAAUCCCCGAGCUUAACUUGGGAACUGCGUUUGAAACUACAAGACUAGAGUGUGUCAGAGGGGGGUAGAAUUCCACGUGUAGCAGUGAAAUGCGUAGAGAUGUGGAGGAAUAUCAAUGGCGAAGGCAGCCCCCUGGGAUAACACUGACGCUCAUGCACGAAAGCGUGGGGAGCGAACAGGAUUAGAUACCCUGGUAGUCCACGCCCUAAACGAUGUCAACUAGUUGUUGGUGGAGUAAGAUCCAUGAGUAACGUAGCUAACGCGUGAAGUUGACCGCCUGGGGAGUACGGUCGCAAGAUUAAAACUCAAAGG